AUUGAACGCUGGCGGCAUGCCUUACACAUGCAAGUCGAACGGCAGCACGGAGCUUGCUCUGGUGGCGAGUGGCGAACGGGUGAGUAAUAUAUCGGAACGUACCCUAGAGUGGGGGAUAACGUAGCGAAAGUUACGCUAAUACCGCAUACGAUCUAAGGAUGAGAGUGGGGGAUCGCAAGACCUCAUGCUCGUGGAGCGGCCGAUAUCUGAUUAGCUAGUUGGUAGGGUAAAAGCCUACCAAGGCAUCGAUCAGUAGCUGGUCUGAGAGGACGACCAGCCACACUGGAACUGAGACACGGUCCAGACUCCUACGGGAGGCAGCAGUGGGGAAUUUUGGACAAUGGGCGAAAGCCUGAUCCAGCAAUGCCGCGUGAGUGAAGAAGGCCUUCGGGUUGUAAAGCUCUUUUGUCAGGGAAGAAACGGUGAGAGCUAAUAUCUCUUGCUAAUGACGGUACCUGAAGAAUAAGCACCGGCUAACUACGUGCCAGCAGCCGCGGUAAUACGUAGGGUGCAAGCGUUAAUCGGAAUUACUGGGCGUAAAGCGUGCGCAGGCGGUUUUGUAAGUCUGAUGUGAAAUCCCCGGGCUCAACCUGGGAAUUGCAUUGGAGACUGCAAGGCUAGAAUCUGGCAGAGGGGGGUAGAAUUCCACGUGUAGCAGUGAAAUGCGUAGAUAUGUGGAGGAACACCGAUGGCGAAGGCAGCCCCCUGGGUCAAGAUUGACGCUCAUGCACGAAAGCGUGGGGAGCAAACAGGAUUAGAUACCCUGGUAGUCCACGCCCUAAACGAUGUCUACUAGUUGUCGGGUCUUAAUUGACUUGGUAACGCAGCUAACGCGUGAAGUAGACCGCCUGGGGAGUACGGUCGCAAGAUUAAAACUCAAAGGAAUUGACGGGGACCCGCACAAGCGGUGGAUGAUGUGGAUUAAUUCGAUGCAACGCGAAAAACCUUACCUACCCUUGACAUGGCUGGAAUCCCCGAGAGAUCAGGGAGUGCUCGAAAGAGAACCAGUACACAGGUGCUGCAUGGCUGUCGUCAGCUCGUGUCGUGAGAUGUUGGGUUAAGUCCCGCAACGAGCGCAACCCUUGUCAUUAGUUGCUACGAAAGGGCACUCUAAUGAGACUGCCGGUGACAAACCGGAGGAAGGUGGGGAUGACGUCAAGUCCUCAUGGCCCUUAUGGGUAGGGCUUCACACGUCAUACAAUGGUACAUACAGAGCGCCGCCAACCCGCGAGGGGGAGCUAAUCGCAGAAAGUGUAUCGUAGUCCGGAUUGUAGUCUGCAACUCGACUGCAUGAAGUUGGAAUCGCUAGUAAUCGCGGAUCAGCAUGUCGCGGUGAAUACGUUCCCGGGUCU
rnacentral:rRNA from 1 species